UCAUCCCAUCGAUGGGGGGGGGGUUUGCAUGCUGCUAGCUUAAAAGGGAGCAGGAUCACAGUUCAGCAAGGGUAAGCAUAGGAGCAUUUAAGAAUAAAUCCUGUGAGAAGAGCAUUAAGUGGUUGAAGAACAAUUCAAUGUAGGGUCUGUCCGCAUAGAUGGAUUACCACAUGGGGAAAGUGGGAAUGCCCAGGGCCCUGGAGCCAAUGGGGGCCCUUAGCCUUAAGAUUUAUUAUUAACCUUUUUUUAUGUGUAAAGUAUUUUUGUCUUGCUGGACUAAGGACAAGGAUGACACAGAGACAGCUGAACAUGCUGUCACUCAUGGCCAUUGAAUUGGAACUCGUCUGGGAGUUGGACUUUGACAACUUGAGCAAUCCCUUCUCUUCAAAGAAGGCCAGAAGAAAGCAGGUGGAUUAGCCACAAUACUGAGAAGUCGUCUGCCUCAAAAAUGCCUCCAAAAGAAGUGGUGAACAUUCUACCAGAGCACAUUACACUGUCAAAGAAAGUACAGGAAAAUGCCUGGGUCGGUAAACCAGCAGCAACGCCUUUCUAACUACCAGCACCUGGCCAGCAGCGUAAAGACUGACCCAGCCAGCAGCAAAAGUACUGGCAGGGACGAUAAAGAUUUCACCAGCGAAUGGAGCCAACAGCACCAACAAGUCAACUAGCAAAGGGACCCAUCAUCACAUUCUUCUGAUGACACUGCCAUACUCUCACUACUCAAUCACAAUAACUCUGAUACAGCCAAUCAAAACUCUAUUUGUCACUUCACACAAUAGUGCACUGAUAACUAACUACAGCUGAACGUGGACCAAACAAAAUAACUGGUCAUUAGCACAUCAAACACACCCCACACUGGACUGAACCCCUCCUCCAUCCACCACGGCAAGACAGUUGAACAGCACCGGGGUCUCGCCCCUCCCUCUCCUCUUGUGCCAUGUGCAGACAGUCAGUAGGUGCAACGUGUGCGCUAGGCAGG